CCAAGCACAACCCGGCGAGAGGAGAGCGAGAGCCAUCAAGGACACGGCAAGAUGCAGAUCUUCGUGAAGACGCUGACCGGGAAGACCAUCACGCUGGAGGUGGAGUCCUCGGACACCAUCGACAACGUCAAGGCCAAAAUCCAGGACAAGGAAGGUAUCCCGCCCGACCAGCAGCGCCUCAUCUUUGCAGGCAAGCAGCUAGAGGAUGGCCGCACUCUCGCCGACUACAACAUCCAAAAGGAGUCGACGCUUCACCUGGUGCUGCGCCUCCGAGGAGGCAGCAGAGGUGGAUGUUGGCGCCCCCUCCUCGCAGUGCCGCUCUUCUUCUUCUACCUCGAGCUGCCUCGCACAACUCUCUCUUCUCUCUUCUAUGAUUUUUCUCAAGAACACCUGAACGCACACUACACACACACAUACACCAAGGAACAGACCAUCCGCUAGCUUUGCCGAGAGGCUCCGUCCUUGGUGAAUACAGUGGCUACAUGUUUCUGCUCUGGCCCUCACGGCCUCCUCUUCUUUCAUUAACUCAGAGUGCAACAUAUCAUAUAAUUUUUUUCCUAUACACAGGGGACUCAACCCACGCACGCACUAGCCAGCCACAUCUCCGGGAAACUAAUCCCAGUACGCACGUUCACCUCCACCUCGUGGAGUCGCUCGAUGCUGCCGGGUCAUCCGAAAAUCAAGGAAAUAUUUCCUUGAUUUUCUGCAUGGCAUAUUUCCUAUCAUUUCACAACCUCCAACCGUCCACUACCAUGCACCGGAUGACUGAAUCACUCAGUCCAUGCGGAUCAACUAUCCUAUCUUUUAGCUAGCUCACCAACUAACCUAUGCAUGCAGCUAACGACUAACUCAGCCAUGCACCGGCUAAUACUCACACAAUGUGUACAAAUGCACGUGCACUAAGUCACAUGUCAAGAUUAUUCCAACAGUGGAUACCCCGAGAACCUUGAGCCCAACCGUACCUCCGCAUCCUUGCUCAAAAGUACAAUGAAAACAAACUGGUCUGCCGCAGGUAUGCACUCCAAGUAACAGAACCUUUUCUGUUAGUACCAUUAUGGUUGUUGUUUUUCUCCUGUUUCAUGGAUCGGCGAUCUCGGACUCGGAGAUUGUAGAACUAUAGAUAUAUGUGUUGUGUUGUUUAAUAGAGGCGAUUAUGCUUUUCGUUACAUCUUGGUGAAACGUAGAUUUGAAUUGCCAAACAGAGGUUGAUCGAUCUCACCUUCAAUCUAUCAUCUCCUUUCUUUGCUUUGCAGUCAUAGUUUCAAACUGAACAGCGUCUUUGGUUUGCUUGCGAUAAUGGCUGAUUUCUGUGAAUAAUGGAAUUACCUAGAUGGUUGAUAUGCAGAUGAUUAAUUAAGAUGUGCAUAGUACUCCCUCGAAACUGUAAAAGCUUUGACAGAGUUGUCACCAAGGUUUUGGUUACCGAAUGAGGCAACUUUACCGAGGGGGACGGGUAAACGUGGUUACCACGGUUACCGGGAAAUACCGAGAAAUACGUUUUAUAGUUGAAUUUUAAAUUCAAAUAAAUGAAUGAACGAACAUUCGAACCAGAGACCUGUCAAAACGUGAACUAGGUUGCUACGAACACGUUAGAAUCAACUCUCAUGGCAUUAAUUAGAUCCUAUGCACUUUACUACAAAUGGAGCAUUUAAAUUUAAAAUUUUCAAAAAGAUGGUAUUUUUUGCUCGGUAUGAGGAUUUAUCAAGGGGCACGGAAAUAUGCGGUAACCAUGGGAAAUCUUAAAAUUUCGACGGUAACCAAAACCCAAUGCUUAAAUUGAAGUCACUGAUUAAUUAUUAGACUUGUCUCAAAUAGUCACUGCCUUGUAGGUGCUAUGCACGCCUACCCGCCAGGGCCACCAACUGCCGUAAGAAGUGUGGCCAUAACAAUCAGCUAAGGGAAAAGAAGAGGUUUAUGUCCAAGUUUGCCAAUGCUUCCUAAACGUUGGAAAUGAUGAUGAAUCAACCGUCUAGUGCCAUAUAUUGGAGUUUAAGUUCUGUCCCUAGUUUGAAGUCAUGUUGGAUUUUGCUGAAUCGUCUAGUGUCGUCAUAUAUAGUGGAGUCUAAGAUUUGUCCAGUUGAUAGUCCUGUUGGAUUUUGAACCUAUGUAUGCUUUGGAAUAAAUUAUCUAUCAAAUA